AGAGUUUGAUCCUGGCUCAGAUUGAACGCUGGCGGCAGGCCUAACACAUGCAAGUCGAGCGGAUGAGGGGUGCUUGCACCCCGAUUCAGCGGCGGACGGGUGAGUAAUGCCUAGGAAUCUGCCCGAUAGUGGGGGACAACGUUUCGAAAGGAACGCUAAUACCGCAUACGUCCUACGGGAGAAAGUGGGGGCUCUUCGGACCUCACGCUAUCGGAUGAGCCUAGGUCGGAUUAGCUAGUUGGUGGGGUAAAGGCCCACCAAGGCGACGAUCCGUAACUGGUCUGAGAGGAUGAUCAGUCACACUGGAACUGAGACACGGUCCAGACUCCUACGGGAGGCAGCAGUGGGGAAUAUUGGACAAUGGGCGAAAGCCUGAUCCAGCCAUGCCGCGUGUGUGAAGAAGGUCUUCGGAUUGUAAAGCACUUUAAGUCGGGAGGAAGGGCUGUAGGUUAAUACCCUGCGGUUUUGACGUUACCGACAGAAUAAGCACCGGCUAACUUCGUGCCAGCAGCCGCGGUAAUACGAAGGGUGCAAGCGUUAAUCGGAAUUACUGGGCGUAAAGCGCGCGUAGGUGGUUUGGUAAGUUGGAUGUGAAAGCCCCGGGCUCAACCUGGGAACUGCAUCCAAAACUGCCUGACUAGAGUACGGUAGAGGGUGGUGGAAUUUCCUGUGUAGCGGUGAAAUGCGUAGAUAUAGGAAGGAACACCAGUGGCGAAGGCGACCACCUGGACUGAUACUGACACUGAGGUGCGAAAGCGUGGGGAGCAAACAGGAUUAGAUACCCUGGUAGUCCACGCCGUAAACGAUGUCGACUAGCCGUUGGGCUCCUUGAGAGCUUAGUGGCGCAGCUAACGCAUUAAGUCGACCGCCUGGGGAGUACGGCCGCAAGGUUAAAACUCAAAUGAAUUUGACGG
rnacentral:rRNA from 1 species